UGCUUUUCACUCAGCCUCGGAAAAACUGUAAAACUAUCGUGGAGUAUUUCCCGGUUUCUGUUUCUCAGUCUUUGGCUACAGUUUCCUUUUGUUCCUCUUGUCUUACCCUACCUGGCGGAAAUAUCCGGGGCUCCUGCGGGAGCUUCCUAGUCCCAGGGAAGAGAAUUAAUCAGGGCUUGAGAGUGACGAGGGAGAGAGGCUCAACGUCUGUCUUGCUUCUCGUUUCCUCCCCUCCUUUUCCUUCCUGUGCGGGAAACCAAAAAGACUUUACAAAACUCAGAUCCAAAACUCCGUGUGGUUUCUUCAAAGGUUGCGCUGGAAUCUUGAUGGAUGGUGAAAGAAAAAGCUGACAAAUAACCAAUGACAACGGCAAACAGCAAGUGACUGGUGCAGGGUCCCCUCAUCCAUCUUCUGAGCGCUGACUGAGGGCCUGCUGGGUGCCAGGCACUGAACUUGGCCCCUAAGGAAACAAGCUCUCUUGAGAGAGCUCCCCAAAUCGUCACUCUGGGGAGAUGGACAAGCGGACAGGCAAAUAAUUGAAAACGGAGAGGGUAACAGAUUGACUACAACCAAGCAUGAAGGACCUUUCUGGGAUAAUGAAAAAGUUCUAACACUGGAUUGUAGCAGCUGUUGUUGCAAAACUCUGUAAAUUUACUAAAAUUAAUUGAAUCGUCUGCUUAAAAUGGGCAAAUUUUAUGGUGGGAAUGUGUGAUAUUCCUCGGACACUUCUGGUUGCCCAAGAACAGAGGAAAAGGAAAGAAGCAAGAUGGCUGACUGAUAGAGGUCACAGUCAAGCAGGACAGGAGUCUCCUUCAGUCUACCAAUAACAGUCAACUGCAAGAAAAAGGCAAUCUUAUCCAAGCCUAAUCUCCAGAAACCUAUAGACUCCGUUUCCUGGAGCCCUAAUAUCACCCUCAUCGAGAUGUAAGGGGGUUUGGGGGCAUGUCUGGGUGGCUCCGUCGGUGAAGUUCUGACUUCGGCUCAGGUCAUGAUCUCGCAGUUUGGGGGUUCGAGCCCCACUUCGGGCUCUGUGCUGACAGCUCAGAGCCUGCAGCUUGCUGCAGAUUCUGUCUCUUCUUCUCUCUCUGUUCCUCCACCGCUCAUGUUCUGUCUCUCUCUCAAAAAUAAUUAAAAGAUUUAAAAAAAAUAAAUGUAAGGGGGUUUAAGUACUUGCCAUGGUGAUGUGAGAAACAAAGGCAAAAAGAAUUAAACUCCCUACUGCCUACAGCCCACUGACACGUCCUUGAAACGGGCAGAGUGACCUCCCUCUAGGAGCUCAGCUGCCUCGAUGAUGACACUUUGCUAGGGACUAAAGGGAAUCUUGGCUUAACAUUAUCCCAACCUCCAGGAUCCCGUAAGUCUACCUUAACAUAUAAAAAUUCCUUUCGAAACUUCCUUUAUCUCAACUCCCCCAAGAUAUAUGCUGGCAAUCCUACUCCAAGCGUAUGACCCCCUGAUAUACAUCUGAAGGGUCUCAUAACCGAGGUUUUACUAAACGGUAACGAAUGGCGUUUGCCUAACACAGCUAGCCCCUCAAGGUCCUGGAAACCUUGCUUCCAAAAUAUCUUAGAGACUUACUCUAUCCAUAACGCCCUCCCAACCUGAAGGUAUACAGUUAGUUACUCGGGUACGACCCCAGUGCAGCUCUUUCUGCCCAAGGGUCCUGUCCCCAUGCUUUAACAAAAUCACCUUUUUGCACCAAAGACGUCUUUAAGAAUUCUUUCUUGGCCAUCAGCUCCGAACCCCACCAUCAUCCCGAAACCCCAUCAGUGAUGAUAUCUAAUAGGGUUUGAUGAGAUAUAAAGUAGGCAUGUUGUCUUUGUCUGAUGGCAUCUCACCCAUUCCACUUAUGUCACUGACUGUGCCCUGCUCUCUCAGGCCACAGGGACACUCAGGCCUGGCUAAUCAAAUAGCACUGUUUCUUGAACACAGUGUUCAAGAAUACUUAAAUACUGUGUUAUACACAGAUCGGUAGGGCCAUUAACCCAAGCAGAGCCAUCAGACUUUUAUGAAGCUUGGUUUAUAGAGGCUGGGAAAGAAAGUCCCUCUUCCUCUGAGGUCAUAGACAGUAAGAGCAUAGACUUGGGGCUGUCCGUGGCCCUCUUUUUUUGUAGGCAAAGGCAGCUUGGAAAACAAGCCAG